rnacentral:rRNA from 1 species
AUGAAAUUCCUUGUGACCCAGUCCUCGCCGCCGGUUCUCGUAGGCCCGUCGGAGCCCACGCAGGCCGGCAACCUGCCUCUCACUUCUUCCGACAAGGCCUGCCUCCAGGUGUCGGUCACGUCGCUCCACAUUUUCGACCGCCCGAUCCACGAGCCGGCUGAGAGCAUACGGCGUGCUCUGUCCCAAGCACUUGUCCACUACUACCCCCUCGCCGGUCGCCUGGCCGUCAGCGGGCAGGACGUCCAGCUCGCGUGCACCGGUGACGGCGUUGCGUUCGUCGCUGCCACGGCGAGCUGCACUCUGGAGGAUGUCAGGUUCUUCGACGCGCCACUGGUGAUCCCUUUGGAUGCCCUUGCCGUCCGGUCCGGCGAGCACGCCCGCAUGUCGGAUUCGGAAUGCCCGCUGCUGAUGAUGCAGGUCACCGAGUUCGCCUGCGGCGGAUACGUCGUCGGGGUGACGUGGAACCAUGCCGUCGCUGACGACUUUGGGUUGGCCCAGUUCCUAGGAGCCGUCGGCGAGCUUGCACGCGGCAUGUCCCCGCCGUCCGUCGUCCCAAUCAGGCACGACGCAUCGCUCCCGGAGAUCCCGCAGCUGAUGGCUGCCCUCGGGCCGUCCCUGGGCUUCAAGUGUAAAAACCGAGGCUGGAAGCGCAUACCAAGGGCAGGAGCGCGGUGCGUGUUAUAUAACCAAGAACAGGCGGCAGGAUUUACAAAGAGGUUAGGUUAG